GUUUUAAUUUGGUGUUUUUGUCUCUUUGUUAUGUUCAAUUAGUACGAUAGUUAAUACAAAGUUCGUUAGUAAGGUGUUAGUCGCUGUAAAAUUGUUAUAAAAAUUUAUAGUUAAAACACGACACAAAGCAAACAACAAAAACGAACACGUUAAAAAGCAACAAGAAAAAGGUCCAGAGUAUGGGCCUUUUUCUGUAUUUUUGGAAUAAUCCCCAGCAACCUCGGCGGCGAGAAUGGCGACAGGAGGUCGGCAUCAGCAGCGCACCGCAAUAUGCUUCAGCCAAAGCCGCCAUUGUUAUGGCAUCCAUGUGGCUCAACGCAACGGAGCCCAACAUUUCGACCAGACGUCCGGUAAUUUCACCGAUGUUCGCCAACGCCUGCCGCUGGAGUCAAACCACGCUUCCAAGGCCGCUUUCCGCCAUCUCCGUCGGCAUCUGCUAGACUGGCUCAACGUAGAUCGCUCUACUAGUUUACAGAGCGAGCUACCCGUAUGCGGAACCGGAGGUUCCCCCAAAACCUGUCGACCGACCACAACCGCAAGUAUAAACCCCCUGCAAAACUGACGUCACAAAAAUAAAAUAGACGAGGUCGUAAAACUGAGCCAGUAGUUCCUAAUUUGAGAGCAUAGCCCUAGGUUAAAAUGUUUCCACCACUUUUGUAUUUGUUCGCUUUGUCGGGUCCGCAAAGGGACCAUCAGGCCUCGCCUUUCUAGGAACACCCCCCCCCCCUCUAGAUUUCAAUGUUUUUCGUAUUACCAACAGCUACGAGCACCACUCUGUGAAACA